UACGAAAGGUGCAAGCGUUACUCGGAAUCACUGGGCGUAAAGCGCACGUAGGCGGACUUACAGGUCAAUUGUGAAAUACCUGGGCUCAACCCGGGAACUGCAGUUGAAACCGUUUGUCUUGAAUACCUGGGAGGGUGGGGGAAUACCUGGUGGAGAAGUGAAAUUCGUAGAGAUCAGGUGGAACACCGGAGGCGAAGGCGCCUGCCUGGCAGUGUAUUGACGCUGAGGUGCGAAAGUGCGGGGAGCAAACAGG
rnacentral:rRNA from 1 species